rnacentral:rRNA from 1 species
CAGUACAGGCCGCUCUAAGGCUAAACCGCGAAUGGCUCAUUAAAUCAGUUAUGGUUCAUUUGAUCUCACUCCCAUUACUUGGAUAACCCUGGUAAUUCUAGAGCUAAUACGUGACAACAACUACUCCGACUGGAAGGGAGGAGUGCUUUUAUUAGAUGAAAACCAAUCGGGCCUCGGUCCGUCAAACACAAACUGUGCUGAUUCUGAAUAACUUUGUGCCGAGAGCACGGUCUCCGCACCGGCUCCGUAUCUUUCGAGUUUCUGCCUUAUCAUGCUGUGGAUUGUAGGCCAUGCGCCUACUGUGGCUGUUACGGGUGACGGAGAAUCAGGGUUCGAUUCCGGAGAGGGAGCCUGAGAAACGGCUACCACAUCCAAGGAAGGCAGCAGGCACGCAAAUUACCCAAUCCCAGCUCUGGGAGGUAGUGACGAAAAAUAACAAUGCGGGACUCUUCCGAGUCUGCGUAAUUGGAAUGAGCACACUUUAAAUCCUUUAGCAACAACCAAUUGGAGGGCAAGUCUGGUGCCAGCAGCCGCGGUAAUUCCAGCUCCAAUAGCGUAUAUUAAAGUUGUUGCGGUUAAAAGCUCGUAGUUCGAGUUCAGUUCCGGACUGGCUGGGGAGGUCACCGCCCGGUGCUUCCCCGUCAGGCUCCGAACAGCUUUUAUGACUAAAAGCCAAGCCGGUUUCGCCGGGGUGCUCUUCACCGAGUGUCCCGCGCGGCCGGCCAGUUUACCUUGAAUAAAUGAGAGUGCUCAAAGCAGGCUACUCUUAAAAAUAAAGCCCGAAUGUUACCUGCAUGGAAUGAUGGAAGAUGAACUCGGUUCCAUUUUAUUGGCUCUGGGAAUCCGAGUUAAUGAUAAACAGGGACUGUCGGGGGCAUCCGUACUACGACGCGAGAGGUGAAAUUCAGUGACCGUCGUAGGACGAACAACAGCGAAAGCAUUUGCCAAGAAUGUCUUCGUUGAUCAAGAACGAAAGUUAGAGGAUCGAAGGCGAUCAGAUACCGCCCUAGUUCUAACCCUAAACGAUGCUGACUAGCAAUCCGCCGUCGUUAUUCCCAUGACGUGGCGGGACGCCCCCGGGAAACCUCAAGUCUUUGAGUUCCGGGGGUAGUAUGGUUGCAAAACUGAAACUUAAAGGAAUUGACGGAAGGGCACCACCAGGAGUGGAGCCUGCGGCUUAAUUUGACUCAACACGGGAAACCUCACCAGGCCCGGACACCAGAAGGAUUGACAGAUUAAGAGCUCUUUCCCGAUUUGGUGGGUGGUGGUGCAUGGCCGUUCUUANUGGUGAA